AACUGGGCUGAAUAUCCCGUGAACAUAUUUGCAGGCAGUGGCGGCGGUAGUUUCGGCAGUCCUGGAUCUGGAGGUGGCGCUGGUGGUUUUGGCCUUGGUAGUGGCUACGGCAGUGGCGGCAGUGGAUUCGGCUUGGGCAGUAGUUCACUAGGCGCCGCCUACGGUAGUGGCGAUUCACUUUCUGGUUUUGGUAGUGGUAGUCCCAGCUCCAGCACCAGUGGCUACGGCUUGGGUGGUGGCCUCGGAAGUGGCUUCGGAAAUGGGGCCGGUAGUAGCCUAGGAGGUGGCCUCGGCGGUGGUCUUGGAGGUGGCCUCGGUGGUGGUCUCGGCAGUGGUCUUGGAGGCGGCCUCGGAGGUGGUCUCGGCAGUGGCUACGGAGGCGGCCCUGGUGGUGGCCUCGGUUUCGGAAGCAGUGGCUCCAGCGGACAAGGGCUUGGCUUUGGUAGAC